UAUGAAAGAGGUGUUGCAGGUGUGGCUGAUGUGUCACAUGUACAUCAGUAAGUGGCGGAGAGGAGAGAGGCUAUGUCAACACUCAGUGUUCUGACCUGUGAGCAUCUGAAUGAUCCGUAGCCUAACUUU
ensembl:snoRNA LOC120097240 small nucleolar RNA SNORA17